rnacentral:rRNA from 1 species
AGAUUGAACGCUGGCGGCAGGCCUAACACAUGCAAGUCGAGCGGUAGAGAGGUGCUUGCACCUCUUGAGAGCGGCGGACGGGUGAGUAAUGCCUAGGAAUCUGCCUAGUGGUGGGGGAUAACGUUCGGAAACGGACGCUAAUACCGCAUACGUCCUACGGGAGAAAGCGGGGGACCUUCGGGCCUCGCGCCAUUAGAUGAGCCUAGGUCGGAUUAGCUAGUUGGUGAGGUAAUGGCUCACCAAGGCGACGAUCCGUAACUGGUCUGAGAGGAUGAUCAGUCACACUGGAACUGAGACACGGUCCAGACUCCGACGGGAGCAG